AACCCUUGUCCUUAGUUACCAGCACGUUAUGGUGGGCACUCUAAGGAGACUGCCGGUGACAAACCGGAGGAAGGUGGGGAUGACGUCAAGUCAUCAUGGCCCUUACGGGCCUGGGCUACACACGUGCUACAAUGGUCGGUACAAAGGGUUGCCAAGCCGCGAGGUGGAGCUAAUCCCAUAAAACCGAUCGUAGUCCGGAUCGCAGUCUGCAACUCGACUGCGUGAAGUCGGAAUCGCUAGUAAUCGUGAAUCAGAAUGUCACGGUGAAUACGUUCCCGGGCCUU
rnacentral:rRNA from 1 species